rnacentral:rRNA from 1 species
CUUAGGAUGAACGCUGGCGGCGUGCCUAACACAUGCAAGUCGAACGAAGCAUUUCGCCCGACAAAGAGGAGUGCUUGCACAAAUCGGAGUCAAUUGGAAUGACUUAGUGGCGGACGGGUGAGUAACGCGUGGGUAACCUGCCCUAUACAGGGGGAUAACAGUUAGAAAUGACUGCUAAUACCGCAUAAGCGCACAGUAUCGCAUGAUACAGUGUAGAAAAACUCCGGUGGUAUAGGAUCGGACCCGCGUCUGAUUAGCCAGUUGGCAGGGUAACGGCCUACCAAAGCGACGAUCAGUAGCCGGCCUGAGAGGGUGAACGGCCACAUUGGGACUGAGACACGGACCCAAACUCCGUACGGGAGGCAGCAGGUGGGGGAUAUUGCACAAUGGGGGAAACCCUGAUGCAGCGAACGCCGCGUGAGCGAUGAAGUAUUUCGGUAUGUAAAGCUCUAUCAGCAGGGAAGAAAAUGACGGUACCUGACUAAGAAGCUCCGGCUAAAUACGUGCCAGCAGCGGC